rnacentral:rRNA from 1 species
UACGUAGGGACCAAGCGUUGUUCGGAUUUACUGGGCGUAAAGGGCGCGUAGGCGGCGUGGUAAGUCACUUGUGAAAUCUCUGAGCUUAACUCAGAACUGCCAAGUGAUACUGCUGUGCUCGAGUGUGGAAGGGGCAAUCGGAAUUCUUGGUGUAGCGGUGGAAUGCGUAGAGAUCGGGAGGAACACCAGUGGCGAAGGCGACUCUCUGGCCUGUAACUGACACUGAGGCGCGAAAGCGUGGGGAGCGAACAGG